AUACAGAGGGUGCAAGCGUUAAUCGGAAUUACUGGGCGUAAAGCGUACGUAGGCGGUUAGUUAAGUUAGAUGUGAAAGCCCCGGGCUUAACCUGGGAACUGCAUUUAAAACUGGCUAACUAGAGUUAAGUAGAGGGGAGUGGAAUUUCAGGUGUAGCGGUGAAAUGCGUAGAGAUCUGAAGGAACACCAGUGGCGAAGGCGACUCCCUGGACUUGAACUGACGCUGAGGUACGAAAGCGUGGGUAGCAAACGGGAUUAGAAACCCUAGUAGUCC
rnacentral:rRNA from 1 species